GUUGUAGUUAAGAUUUAUAUUAAGCUCUAUCAACAUAAUCAUGAUAAUAUCAAUGAUUAGUAAAGAAGGCGAGACAUUUCAGCGUGUGCACUCUUGUGUAAGUAUGUGUUAUAUUUUUCGAAAUUUUAUUCUUAAUUUUUUAAGAUAUUGACUUGAUAUUUGUUUACACAAUGACAAGUUAUAAAUCAACUUUAUAUUUUGUUACAGCAC
rnacentral:lncRNA from 1 species